rnacentral:lncRNA from 1 species
GAGGACCGUAUUCAUGGAAGAGGAUCGAACAGAAGACUACUGAGUUCUUAUGAGAAAAAUGGCUCUUAAGAAAUUGAAGGUGAUACCAAAGGAAAGUUACUUAUUACUUUUGGACUUUGAUGAUGAGGACGAUGAUAUAAAAGUUUCAGAGGAGGCUCUUUCGGAAGAGAUGAAGUAGACAGUAUGUUGGAUAAAUCUGAAGACAUGAAAUAGGCAGUAUGUUGGAUAAAUCUGGAGGUCUCUGCUAAGAAAAACUGAGAACUUCACUGUAAGUGCAAGAGUUUGAACAGACUGGCUCCUAGCAGAAAUCAGGAAGGCCAAGGAAAUGGAGACCCUAUGACAUUUAUAAGACGCUUCACAUAAAGAGAAAAUGGAUGGAAACUUAUGUCAAAGAAUCUUUCAAAGGCAGGAACCAGAAAUUAGAAAGAUUUUGCAAAAUGAACGAACGAGAGAGGAAGAACAUCAACAACAAAUUUUGUGAGCAGUAUAUAACUACAUUUCAGAAGUCUUAUAUGGAUGUACAGAAAUUCAAUGAGGAAAAAGAAAAAUCAGUGAAUAGUUGUCAAAAAGAACAACAAGCAUUGAAACUGUCCAAAUGUAGUCAGAACCAGACCCUGGAAGCAGCUGCAUCAUUGGACUCAAACUGAAUGGUCCAUGUGUUGCCACUGAUGUGAGCCAUU